rnacentral:misc_RNA from 1 species
UUUCUGCAACACAGUUUUGCGGGUCUCGAGCACUCUCAAAAGUUGAACUUUUGAAUUCUCCUCCUGCGUAGCGCAUCCAGUGGAAUCUGAUGGAUUUGGAAAUGAGCCAGGCUUAUAAAGAACUAUUGCAUUCUCCGUAUCAGUAUCAGGCAUAGCCUUGCUACCUUCGAUAGAUUUCUGCGACCGUAUCGUUUGAUGGUGAUCUUCAGCCAUGACACUCUCAUUACCCUGAACGGUAAUUGCUUCCCCAAUUUGCAACAUCUCAGACUCGAUCGUGCUCACACGUUCAAGAACCUCCGGCGUGCUCACGAAUCGAACGAAUCUUUCGACAGUGCCCUUUGUGAACCAUGGUGCAUGUUCGGCUCGCGGACCUGGUUCGAGGGUGAUUGAAUAUCCUCCCUUGGAGAUCUGAUCCUGGGCAGCUUUGAGAUG